rnacentral:tRNA from 1 species
GCCUGGCUGGCUCAUUUGGUAGAGCAUGUGACUCUUAAUCUUGGGACGUGAGUUCAAACCCCACACUGGGCA